UCUAUACUUCUUCAGUUCUUCUGAUUCCAUAUUUGUUUUUAAUUUCUUGUGGUUUUGUGCUGCGAUUUAGAUUGGCGAUUAGGUUUUGUGUAAUCGAUUGGAUUACUUUCUCCGUGUGGUGCGAUUUCUCUUAACCUCUCCCAAUCUGGUAUUGCGGCGAGGAUACAUGGGUUUCUGAUCAAUCUACUAUCGAAGUUUCUGAUUUGUAUAGCUCGUUUGCUAUGAUUCUUCUUCGAUUUGUUUUAUUUGGUUAUUUUCAACGAUUGAAGGUCUAAGACUGUAAUGGUUCAAGUUUUGACGGUCUUUUUAUAUCAUAUUGGUUCUCGGGGCUCACUUUCGUUUGCUUAUGUAGUGCAAUCGAUUUGUUAGUUCGUGAUCUUUCGAGUUAGAAGGAUUGGUGAGCAGCCUCAAGAUCACACUUGAAUGAAUUUAUAUGCAACUGAGUUUUUUCGUGAUUUCCGUCCAUCAGCCUUAUGCCAAAAGUAGCUGACUCCCUGACUUGGUGUGGGGCUUUUUCCCCCAGUGUCUCCAUAAAUAAAUUGGAAUAGAUUGUUUGGUAUGUGAGUCAUCUCUGGCUAUGAUAGUGUAUAUGGAGGGUGGCGGAGGGAGUAUAGUAUGGUAUAUUUUUGGAUUUUAUCUUCUACAUAGGCAUUCCCGGUGCUUAAUCGUUAUACUCUUCAAUUUCCAUUGUCUUACCAGUGGCUCUUUCUUAAUCAACCUUCAGCGGAAGCCACUCCUCCUGGUUUGGUGCUUGGUUAUUUUUACUGGUUUCAUCAGUUUCUCUUUGUGCUGAGCCUCAACAUGUGACAAGAGAUGCAAAAUAAAUUGUGGUUCUGUUGAAGGUGGAGCUUAAGGUGGGCUAGCUUGGUCUGGCUGUUGGACAUGGACCAAUAUUUGAUGAGCGUUAACCGAGUAUAUGAAGGGUGGCAGAGGGAGUAUAGUAUUUUUCUACUGUCGUUUAUCUUCUUGCUGGACAUCUCCUUUGGUUAUUGUAAUGCUCUUGAAUUUCCUGAUUUCAGAUAUUUUGGUUCUUGAGUUUCCAGGAGAAGGCAGUUCUAGGCUUUGACAGUUUGACAGUGGGAGUGUAAUAUAGUAUAGUAUAGUGUUGUUUUCACUACCUGUUACCCUCCACCUUGACUUUUCCGUCCUUGUUGUUAUUCUCUUUGAUAUCCAGUCUCCGACUCUUGGGUGGGUUCUUCAUCAGGCUUCACUGGAAGACAGCUCUUGUUUGAUGCUUGGCUAACUGUUCUUUUUUAAUCUGUUUUUGUUUAAUGUUUAGUCAAUUUUUCUGGUUUGAUGCUUGGUUAACUUUUUUUAUGUGAAAUGGUUGUUUAUUUACCUAUAUGUGAAUGUUGUUUUCAGCCUUUAUUGCAGGUCGUUGACGUGGACCAAUCUCUGAUACUUGCAUUUAUGGUGUUUAUGAAGGCUGGCCUUUCUCCUGCCAUUUAUCUUCUAGCUGUGCUUUCCCUUAUCUUACUAUUAUGCUCUUUCCUCCAGAUACCUGAUCUUUGGAUUGCUCUACCAGUUUUCCAGGAGAAGGACGCUCUUUGUUUUUACAAGGGGGUAUAGUAUAGUGUUCUUUUCUAAUAACAUUUAUCUUCUACCUAGACCUCUCACUGCCUAAACUUUCCUGUGUUUAUCGUUGUACUCUUCAAUUUCCAGUAUCUGAGGGUUGGGUACCUCUUAAUCAACCUUCACCCAAAGGCAGUUUUCAUGGGAUGGCAGUUCUUGCUGAUGCUCAACAGCUCUAGUAUCUUUACUCUGUUUUAUUAGUUUCUUUUUUUACAUAGAUGUGUGUAAUGUUUCUGGCCUCACAGGACAAAUUUUUUUAUUCCAUACACAUCUCUGAUGCUGGCAAAGAUGGUGCUGGCAUUGGGAGUACAGUAAUUUUGUAUGACGUUUUAUCUUCUAGCUGACUUCACCAUUGCUUAGCUGACUUCUCUUCAAUUUCCAGAUGUAUGUUAUAUGUGUGGUUCUAUCAGUAAUAACGGGAAGGUGAUUCUCACGUUUUAUGAUGUGGCAGUGGAAGGGAAGUAUAUUAUCUUACUUCUGCUACAUUUUAUCCUCUUCCUGGAUGCACCUGUGCUUAUUGUUGUUCUCUUCAGUUUUCAGUGUCUAUUCGGGUGGUUCUUAAUCAGCCUUCACCAGAAGCUGGUUCGUACUUGGUUAUCUUUGCUCUGUUUCAAUAGUUCUUCUUUUGUGUAGGUUGUGGAUGUUUCUUCUUUCGUACUUGGUUAUCUUUGCUUUGUGUUACGUAGAUGCAAAAUAAGUUUUGAUUCUGUUAGACUUGGAGCGUAAGGUUACACUAUCUGGGCCUGGUUGUUGGACAUGGACAAAAAAUGUUGAUGCCUUGAUGGCAUUUUAGUGUUUUUGAGGCUUGGCAGAGGGAGUAUCGUAUUUUUUAUCGUCAUUUAUCUUCUAGCUGGAGUUUCCCAUUGCUUACUGACCUUUCCAAUGCUUACCGUUGUACUCUUCAAUUUCCAGUUUCUGGUCGUUGGCUUAAUCAACCUUCACGAAGAGAGUUCUGGUUUGAUACUGGAUUAUCUUGUCUCUCUUUCAUCAGUAUUUUGUUUGUUACACAGAUGUAGAUUUUAUCUUCUGCGUAGACAUUCCUGGUGCUUACCGUUUUACUCUUCCAACUUAGUGUAUUAUCAUUGGCUGGUUCUUAAUCAACCUUCCGUGGAAGCUGGUUCUGGUUUGGUGCUUGGUUACUUUUACUCCGUUUCAUCAGUUACAUUUUGGUACAUGGAUACCGGGUUUGGCCUCAACAUGUAACGGGAGGUACAGAAUAAAUUUAGUUCCGUUGAAGGUGGAGCCUAAGGAGGGGUAUCUUGGUCUGGCUGUUGGACAUGGUCCAAUAUUUGAUACUGGCUUUGACCGAGCUUAUGAAGGGUGGCAGGAGUAUAUUGUAUUUUAUACUUUCGUUUCUCACUGGACAUUUCCUUUGUUUAUUGUUAUGCUCUUCAGUUUCGAUGUUAGAUAUUUGGGUACUUCAGUUUCCAAGAGAAGGCAGUUCUGGGCUUUUACAUUGUGACUGGGAGUAUAGUAUAGUGAUAUAUCACUACCUCUUAUCUUCUACCUAGACCUUCCCGCCCUUAUUGUUGUUCUCUUUGAUAUCCAGUCUUUGACCAUUGGGUGGGUUCUUUAUCAGGCUUUCACUGGAAGGCAGUUCUAAUUUGAAACUUUGAUGCUUGGUUAAUUUUUCCCUUUAAUCUGUUCUAGUUUGAACUUUGAUGCUUGGUUAACUGUUCCCUUUAAUCUGUUUUGUUUGUUUACCUAUAUGUGUAUAUUGAUUUCAGCCUUUGUCGCGGGUCUUUGAAGUGGACAAAUCUCUGAUGCUUGCAUUUAUGGUGUUUAUGACGGGUGACAUUACUGUCAUUUAUCUUCUAGCUGAGCUUUCUCUUUACUUACUAUUAUACUCUUCAAUUUCCAGAUGUCUGAUCUUUGGGUUGUUCUAUCAGUUCCUAGGGGAAGGCCGUUCUUUGUUUAUACUGUUUGGCAGAGGGGGUAUAGUAUAGUGUUAUUUUCUACUAUUUUUCUUCUAUAUAGUCUUCCUUCAUGUUUAUGUUUACUCUUCAAUUUCCAUUAUCUGAGUGUUGGUGGUUCUUAAUCAACCUUCAACAGUUCACGCUGGAAGGCAAUUCUUGAUUGAUGCUCGAGUAUCUUUACUCUGUUUUGUAAAUUUUUGUUUGCUACGUAGAUGUGUAUAGUGUUGUUUUUGUCUUCAUUCAGUGACACGUGACAGGGAAAAUAAUUGCUUCCGUCAAAGUAGGAGCUUAAGUGUGACUGUCAUUGUAUGGUUGUUGGACACUGUUACAUCUCUGAUACUGGCAAGGAUAGUGCUAAUGGAGGGUAGCAGAGAGAGUACAUUACUUUUCUACUGUCAUUUAUCUUGUAGCUGGUCUUUUCCUUGUGAAUCUAUCAGAGUAGGAGCUGAUUGAAGGGCUAUCUUUGCCUGGUUGUUUGACAUGGGGCAAUAUUCAAUGUUGGUAUUUGAAGUGUUCACGGAGGGUGGUAGAGGGAGUAUAGUAACUUUUGUAUUUCAUUCAUCUUCGAACUGAAUUUUCCCCUUACUUAUUGCUAUGCUGUUCAUAUGUCCAGAUGCCUUAUUCUUACUUUGUUCAAUAUGUUCUCAAGGAAAGGCAGAUUGGUGUCCUACAAGGUGAUAUCGGGAGUGCAUUAUAAUAUUUUUCUGUGUUUAUUGUUUUACAUUCAAUUCUAAUUUUCUACAGUAAUUUAUCUUCUAACUGAACUUAUCUUUUGCUUAUUAUUAUGCUCUUUGAUUUCCAGAUGUCUCUGCAUGGUUCUAUAGGAAAUUCGGUUCUGGGUUUGAUAGAGAGUAUAGUAUGGUAUCUUUAAGAUGUUAUCUUUUAUGUUGACAUUCCUGUGCUUAUCAUUAUACUCUUUAAUUUCCAGUGUCAUAUUAUUGGCUGGUUCUUGAUCAACCUUCAGUGGAAGCCAUAUCUGGUUUGAUGCUUGGUUAUUUGUACUCUAUUUCAUCAGUUUCUUUUUUUUGUUAAAUUGGAUAUUGUGGUUGGCCUAAACCUGUGACAGAUUUCACAAAUAAAUUUUGGUUCUGUUGAAGGUGGAGCUUAAGAUGGGCUAUCUUGGUUUGGCUAUUGCCUGUUGGACACGAAUCCAUAUUUAAUGCUGGAGUUGACAGUAUUUAUGGGGGCGGUAUAGUAUUUUUCUACGUUGUUGUCUUCUUGCUGGACAUUCCCUUUGCUUAUUGUUAUGCACUUCAAUUUCCAGAUGUCAAAUAUUUUGAGAAAGCAGUUCUGGGCUUUUACAAUGGCAAAGGGAGUAUAGUUUGAUAUCUUUUAGAUUUUAUCUUCUUUGUAGACAUUCCCUGUUCUCAUCGUUAUACUUCUCAAUUUCUAGUGUCUGAGCAGUGGCUGGUUCUGAAUCAACCUUCAGUGGAAGCCAGUUCCAGUUUGAUACUUGGUUAUCUCUACUCUGUUUCAUCAGUUCCUUUUUGUUACGUGGAUAUUGUGUUUGGCCUCGUCCUACGAGAGAAGAUACGAUCAUACAAAAUAAAUUUGAUACUGUUAAAUGCGGAGAUUGAGGUGGGCUAUCUUUGUCUUGUUGUUGGACAGGAUUAGGAACCAAUCUUUGAUAUACUGGCCUUGACUGAUUACACUUGGAGCUUGAGUGUCUAUUCCCGUGCUUAUUGAUAUACUCUUCAAUGCAUAGUCUCUCGGCCAUUACGAAGAUAAAGAUGAGGGGAGUUGUCACCACUGUAUUCGACACCAGUAUUGAGGUUUGAGAGAUCAUUUGAGAUGUGAUUAGUAGCUCUCGAAUCAGGAUAUCAAGAGCCAGUAAGCCCACCUUCGUAGCUGCAUUUAAAGGGAUAUGUACUGGCGAUUAUGAGAAAUACCUGCUGCACCAGGUUAGCAGAAGGUGUGUUGUAGAAAGAAGGUUGUUGUGCCUGCGAGGACUGUCCCCGUGGAGUCGACUAUUGUUCAUACCUAUGCCAGAGAAUCUAUUUCCAGAGAACCUGCCCCCUCGGCCGCCUCUACCACACCAAAAUCCACAGGAUUCUCCCCUUCCAAAAUGCUGCAAAUUCUCUCUAUAUCAUGUGAGAAAUGAUUGUCAUUUGGCAAUGUGAGUAGCCCUUGGCUGUGUGCCAUCAGUAUUGACACCAAUCGCCUUGACACGAGGUAGAUGUCACACUUGGUGAUUGGCAUGAGAUUUUAGUAAAUGUUUUUGUGUAUUAAAUGGAGAGAAAAUAUAUUUUUAUAUAUUAAUGUAAGAGAACUUUAUUUUAAAAGGAUAUGUGACAUCAUUUAUAGGAAAAAA